UAAUUUUUGCAAUUUCCUAAUGUCUGAGCUUUUAUUAUCCCAUCUCUCGGUCAGACCACGCACGAAAAAAAAACAAAACAGAGACUUCUGGAUCCUUCAACACAAGGGUUCUAUCGAUGCUAUCUCCCUCUGCUCUUCCUUGAUUUCUCCGGUGAGUUUCCAAUGUCGUGCUGCCGGUCAAGCCUUCCCCUUUAGUCUGAAAAUUUUCCUUUUCUUUUCUUCUCUUUUUGGUGGUGCAUAGCGUUCUGGUCAGAGGAAGCUGGAGGAUUUGGGCUAGAUGUUUCGAAUCUUCAUCCAGCUCUUCCGUCCUCUGUCACUGUCUUCAUCUCGUUCUUCUUCUUUUUCAUCAUCCUGCAGCGUGUAGCUGGUGACCGUGGAGGAGUUCAUAACUGUUGCUGUCUUCCUCAUCUUUUUCCUGCUUUUAUUUUCGUUCUGGCGUUGUUGGUGUCCGAGGAGCUGAGUAGUUAGAGCUGAAGGAUCUAUUUGUAAGUCACUUUGGUUCUUGGUUGGUUGUUGUGGCUGUAUUCCUCCCCCUCUCUGAUGCAUCGUGUUCGGAAUUUCCCUCCCCUGUUUAGCUUAAGGAUGUUUGGAAGGAGGGAAGCUCAAAUGGAGUCAUAAGGAAUGAGUUUGGAGCCUUGAGGAUACUACAGACCACGCACGAAAAAAAAACAAAACAGAGACUUCUGGAUCCUUCAACACAAGGGUUCUAUCGAUGCUAUCUCCCUCUGCUCUUCCUUGAUUUCUCCGCGUGUAGCUGGUGACCGUGGAGGAGUUCAUAACUGUUGCUGUCUUCCUCAUCUUUUUCCUGCUUUUAUUUUCGUUCUGGCGUUGUUGGUGUCCGAGGAGCUGAGUAGUUAGAGCUGAAGGAUCUAUUUGUAAGUCACUUUGGUUCUUGGUUGGUUGUUGUGGCUGUAUUCCUCCCCCUCUCUGAUGCAUCGUGUUCGGAAUUUCCCUCCCCUGUUUAGCUUAAGGAUGUUUGGAAGGAGGGAAGCUCAAAUGGAGUCAUAAGGAAUGAGUUUGGAGCCUUGAGGAUACUACAGAUAGCGUAGCGGACCGUGUACCUCCAUUAGAUCCUUAAGGGCAUUUUGCUUCUGGACUGAAGUUGAGACACCAUUUUGGUUAAUUUUUAUUUUGAUGUAAAUUUAUAAUUCAUAUAUCGUAUUUUUACAAAUAAUGUUUUAGGUGCUCCACAUAGAUUAUAGUUAGAGUCCUAAUUCUGUAUUGUGCUAUUUGAUUGUUGUGGAGGAGAGGAGUUCUCUUUUGCUGAGUUGAUGUCAUAGAUUGUGAUGGAAUAUUUUUUGAGGCUCUAUGUUUUCGGGGAGGUUUUGUUAAACAUUUUUACAAAAAGUUUAAAAAUAUUUUAUUAA